CGAGACGCUUAGCCUUUUGUAGACAAAUGCGCUGGAGGCUGCCUCAACUCAGAACAUUGGAACCUGACUUUGGGAGAGUGACUCAGUUUCCUCAGCUGUAAAAAACGGACCUGAUUAAACCUGAAAGACUCAGGGCUGGAGCUUUUUGGACUUCAGAAUUGCAGAUAAAAGAUCGUGGACCGUGGAAUAAACCUCUUCGAAGUGAUGGGAGAUGAAAUAAGAGUGUCCGGGUGCAAAAGCUGAGAACGUAGCCUGGGGCGAGAGUUGCCCGUUCCAGGCCGACCACAGCUUCCUUCGUUAGGGGGAUGGAACCAAGUGUUCAGGAUGUGGUGACAGCGGAGGUGACUGGUCCUUUCUGGCCUCCGCCAGAGCCUGCCUUAGGGAUACUAAGGUUGGAGUCCCGCUGGCCGUAUAUGCCACAGCUGUAGGGCUCUGUUCCCAGGUGGAAGAGACUCUGGGCCUCUCCAGGGACCAGAAAGCCGAGCGGGUGGCGUGUGCAUACAAGUCCAGUCUGCCGCAGUUCGUCACCAUCUAUGGAAGAGAUGGGGCGCGGCCCAAAGGUUCUAACAGCCUUUUUUAGCCCGGCCUGCCCGGGGGCGCUGACUCACA